rnacentral:rRNA from 1 species
AGCCACUAGACGAUACUAUGUGGUUUAACCUGCCCAAUGUUUUAAUAAAUGGCCGCGGUAUCCUGACCGUGCUAAGGUAGCGUAAUCAGUUGACUUUUAAAUGGAGUCAGGAAUGAAUGGGAGAACCGGGUUUAGCUGUCUUAAAAUUACUAUAUCGAAUUUACUUUUUAAGUGAAAAAGCUUAAAUUAAGAAAAGGGACGAGAAGACCCUUAGAAUUUUUUUCAAGAUAAAUUUUAUUUUUUAUUAUUUUAUUGGGGCGAUAAAGAAAUACUAAAAACUUUCUUUUAAAUACAAGCCGAUUAUGUUAAGAAAGAAUAAAUUACCUGA